GACGGAGGGAGCAAGCGUUGUUCGGAUUUACUGGGCGUAAAGGGCGUCUAGGCGGGCUUGCAAGUCAGAUGUGAAAUCCCCCGGCUCAACCGGGGAGCUGCAUUUGAUACUGCUGGUCUUGAGUACGGAAGAGGGAGGCGGAAUUCCUGGUGUAGCGGUGAAAUGCGUAGAUAUCAGGAAGAACACCGGUGGCGAAGGCGGCCUCCUGGUCCGAUACUGACGCUAAAGCGCGAAAGUGUGGGGAGCAAACAGG
rnacentral:rRNA from 1 species